rnacentral:rRNA from 1 species
UAAGGGCGCACGGUGGAUGCCUUGGCACUAGAAGCCGAUGAAGGACGUUACUAACGACGAUAUGCUUUGGGGAGCUGUAAGUAAGCUUUGAUCCAGAGAUUUCCGAAUGGGGAAACCCAGCAUGAGUUAUGUCAUGUUAUCGAUAUGUGAAUACAUAGCAUAUCAGAAGGCACACCCGGAGAACUGAAACAUCUUAGUACCCGGAGGAAGAGAAAGAAAAUUCGAUUCCCUUAGUAGCGGCGAGCGAAACGGGAAGAGCCCAAACCAACAAGCUUGCUUGUUGGGGUUGUAGGACACUCUAUACGGAGUUACAAAGGACGACAUUAGACGAAUCAUCUGGAAAGAUGAAUCAAAGAAGGUAAUAAUCCUGUAGUCGAAAAUGUUGUCUCUCUUGAGUGGAUCCUGAGUACGACGGAGCACGUGAAAUUCCGUCGGAAUCUGGGAGGACCAUCUCCUAAGGCUAAAUACUCUCUAGUGACCGAUAGUGAACCAGUACCGUGAGGGAAAGGUGAAAAGCACCCCGGAAGGGGAGUGAAAUAGAACCUGAAACCGUGUGCUUACAAGUAGUCAGAGCCCGUUAAUGGGUGAUGGCGUGCCUUUUGUAGAAUGAACCGGCGAGUUACGAUUUGAUGCAAGGUUAAGCAGUAAAUGUGGAGCCGUAGCGAAAGCGAGUCUGAAUAGGGCGUUUAGUAUUUGGUCGUAGACCCGAAACCAGGUGAUCUACCCUUGGUCAGGUUGAAGUUCAGGUAACACUGAAUGGAGGACCGAACCGACUUACGUUGAAAAGUGAGCGGAUGAACUGAGGGUAGCGGAGAAAUUCCAAUCGAACCUGGAGAUAGCUGGUUCUCUCCGAAAUAGCUUUAGGGCUAGCCUCAAGUGAUGAUUAUUGGAGGUAGAGCACUGUUUGGACGAGGGGCCCCUCUCGGGUUACCGAAUUCAGACAAACUCCGAAUGCCAAUUAAUUUAACUUGGGAGUCAGAACAUGGGUGAUAAGGUCCGUGUUCGAAAGGGAAACAGCCCAGACCACCAGCUAAGGUCCCAAAAUAUAUGUUAAGUGGAAAAGGAUGUGGCGUUGCCCAGACAACUAGGAUGUUGGCUUAGAAGCAGCCAUCAUUUAAAGAGUGCGUAAUAGCUCACUAGUCGAGUGACACUGCGCCGAAAAUGUACCGGGGCUAAACAUAUUACC